rnacentral:lncRNA from 1 species
AGCAAAUGACAGCAAAGAUAACCGAAUUACAACAAUCAAAUUGAGGAGAAAAAGGGAAAAAUUGUAAAUAUUAUAUUUCAUUUUUGGCUAUAAAAAGCCAUUGUAAAUAUUGAUUUUGAGGAUACACGGAUUGAAAAAAAAAACAAUUAGAAUUGAAAAGGUGAUUCAAGUUUACAGUUUUUUUUUUAGUUUUCAGAUUUCGUUUUUUUAAUAUUUUUUCUCUUCUCUUCUUUUCUCUCAUAUUUCACAUGAAGAGAAUAAAGGAAAAGAGUACUUGCCUUUGGCCUUUGAUCGCAUCUCUUUUGCUCAUGGUCGGCCACCAAGUUUGAUGGUGGUUCAGCAGUGACUUUGAGAGCCCUAACAUUAGAGAUUUGAUUUGCUGUUUGCAAAAAUGGCAGUGCCAUUCAGUUUUUUUUCUUUAAUUUUGAUUGCAAAGAAACAACACCGUUUCAAGGGGAAAUGUUUGGUUAUUUGCUGCAGAUGGUUAAUUUAUGCGAUUAAUCCCUCCCCUUCGCGUUGAUUUUCAAUUGGAUCCUAUUUGUGUUUUAUUUGUUUUUUAAAUUUUUCCUAAAAUCUGUGUGCUAUUUCAAUUUAGCCCGCGUUUAAGCUUUAUGUUUUGGGACCAGGAUUAUUCCCAACUUUAGUCCCUUAGCAUUUACGCGCAUUAUGCAUUAGCCCUCUGUUUAAUUUCAAAAUUUAUAAAUUAUCCCCUUUCAUUUUAAAUUUAUUUCAAUUAGGAUUUUUGUUUAUAUGAUUUAUUAUUUUUGAGGAGACUCAUUUAAUAUAUUUUUUAUGUGUCAGAAUUGUUUUAAUAAUUUUUAUUUUUGUUUAAAUAAAUCUUUGUUUUGAAAUCUUUAUACUAUUUUACAGUACGUAUAGAAUUUGAUUUAAAUAUUCAUGUUGAGCUUUCUAUUUGAAAUGCUUAUUAUUUUAAAAUUUACUUAAUAUUCUUAUAUAUGUGUUAAUUUAAAAAAAAAGAAAUAAUUUUGUUUUAUUUUUAUUUGUACAGUUAUUUUGGAGUUGAUUUUAUUAUAUUAUUUUUAACAUUUUUUUAUAAUUUUUCGACUAAAUAUUUCCGGAUAUGUUUGUACAUAUAUUAUUUUAAUGGGCUUUUUUUUAUUUUAAAAUACUUAUUGUUUUAAAAUUCAUUAAAUUAUGUGUGUAAAGUUACUUGGGAGCUGCAUUUUUUUUUGUGUUAAUAAAAUUAUUAUUUUGAAAUUCCUCAUUAUGUCAUAUUAUUUUAAUAUAUUAUGUAGUAUCUUAUUUUAAGUGUUUUUAUGUAUAACGGUACGUAUAUAAUUUAUAGAUUAACUUAAUUUUAUAUAUAUUAUUAAUCUCAUGCUAUUUUUUACAAACAAUUAUUCCUAAAUCUAUUUAUGUAUGCAUGUUUUUUUAAUCACUAUACCUUAUCAUGUAUUUUUAUUAUUCUUUCAUAUUUUAUAUAUUAUUUAAGUUAUCAUGUACAUAGUCAAUUUUUGAAUGAAUUUGUGUUUAAAAUAGUUUGCAUAUAAUUCAAUUCAAACUUUUAUUCUAUAAUAUCUAUUUCAAUAAUUAUAUAUCCCUAGUCUUUGUGCAAAUUUGUCAACUUAUCUAUUAUAUAUAUUAUGUAUUCAUUAAUUCAUCAUUAUUUUGAAAAUGUCUUAUACCACAAUUGACUUCUAAUUUCCAUUUUAUUUUGUACAUGUUUUGUGGAUCGUUUCAUAUUGUGCCAUAUUUAUUGUUGUUGUAUAUUAUUUAGUCAUUGUUUUAUCAAUUUUUCUCCAUCCAUUAUUAAGAAUUUGGUUACAUUUCACUUAGAAUAAUUGUACUUAAUUGUUGGAUUUAUUAGUUGUGAUUUAUUGUACUUUAUGUGUGCACAUUAUUUCGUGUUUAUUCAUUUCUUUUUACGAAUGUUUUCUUGUAAUACCUCAAAUGUUCCAUCUCAUUUUAAAACAAAUAAAUGUGUUUUGAGCGAAUUUUCAAUUUUCCUUAUUAUUCAAAAAUUCUGAAAUAAGGCAAUAUCCAAUAUUUGGGAAUUCGAGAAAUCGUGCUCAAUCGUGCUGGGUAUGAUUUUUUCGGUGAACUAAAUAUUUGGAUAACCUUUUAUAAUUUUAGUGUACGAGUUUUUGAAAGUCAAAAGUCGAUCGUAUUUUUGAAGGUAUAAAGGAUCGUAUCCAAUCAUGCUGGGUAUGAUGCUGCAUAUCUUUGAAAUGAGAGAAUUUUGACAGUUAACUUGAACUAUUCACACAUUUUAAAGAAUCAUGCUUUGAAAGAUCUUUUUUCUUAAAAUCUUUGAUAUAAGGAUAGCAUCGAAUCAAUUUGGUACCAAUUUUUGGGCGUAAUGAGGCUGCUUAUCCUUCCUCAUGAAUAACCGACUCCCGAACCCAUUUGUUUUUUAUUUUACGUGAACCAAAAUUGUCUUUAAUGGAACAAAACAUUUUAAUAGGUGGCCCAAUCACACCUAAACCGACAGACUGGUGGCGACUCCACAUUUUUGUUUUAAAAAGUCGAUUCUCAUUUUUCCUAACUCUAAAAAAGGGGUUCGACAGCUUGGCGACUCCACUGGGGAUUGAACAAAGAGGGUCAGGCCAUAAAAUUGAUUAUUUGUUUUCCUUUUGUCAAAGAAUUGAAAUUUUGUUUUGAAAAUCAUGAUUCUUUUAAUUGCAUUUGUUUGCAUGAUUAUUGUGGUUCGAGUCUUGUAAAAUAAUAUGACAUUACAUUGCAUGACCUCUGUGGUUAUACCUGUUAAGUGGGAGUAAGAAACUAUGCUUUUGUGAGGUUUUCACCUCCGCAUGAGCUAGUGGAUUGCUUCCGGGAUACAUCCGUACCUAUGAUUUCGUAAGGUUUUUAUCUCUGCAUGGUCAUAGGGAAAUGUAUUCCCCUGAACCGAACUCGAUUCAUAUGAGCCUAUAAUGGGUAAGAAUUGAGGAAUCUGUUAGUUCAGGUACCCUUUCUCUAAAACCAAACCACAUAUAGUGAAUCUUGAGAAUCCACCUUAAGUAGAACCUUGCCCAAAUUUAGUGGUCACCCAAAUAGGUACUUUAUUUGAUAUUUAUUUCACUUGUACUAACGUGUUUUGUUUUUGUUUUGUUUAUAACUGCAUUGCAUUACAUCAUCAUAGAAAGCAGGUGUUGAUUCAUAUUUGAUUGCUAAAUAGAAUAGUUUGUCAUAAGAAAAUGAAUUUCCUGAUAAAGUGGAUUAUAAUACGGUUGUCUAAAUAGACGGAAGAAGGCUGACAGUUCGUGGAGAAAAACAAGUCUCUACUUGAAGAUUCAAGCUGAUAAAGAUUGUUUGAAAGCCGUCGCGUCUCGAUUUUCUUAACAGAGCUAAUCAAUGUCAUGAGGAUAAUAAGUCGUGGCCUGGAUCAAGCAAAGAAGGGCUAGUGGAGGCAUUUAUUGGAGGCUUGCGAGAUUUGGAUUUCACGAAGAAAAGGGAUUGGUGUUUUCACCUGGAAUAUGAAAGCAAUGCCGUAUAUGUAAUCUGUUUUAUGUAAAGGAAUUUGUUUUCUAGAAAAGUUGUUCUAAUGGAAUUAAAUUCAAAAUCAACACCUCUCUUUCUUUUGCAUUCAUCCCAUGCAUUUGCAUUGCAUUGCAUCAUUUCAUCAUUUGCAUUAAAUUUUCAUAAAAGGGGUCCCUAAUUAGUUGAAAUCAUUUCAGUUAAUUUGGGAACCAAUAAAAACUUACCAAUCAAGCGUCGUUAUGGUACCCGUGCUAAGACAAAAGAUAUGGAUCAAAGGUUGGAAAGACUUGAACAACUUCAAAGAGAGAUGCAAGACCAGUUACAAAUACAGAUGCAAGAGCAAGUGGCGAAGAUUAGGCAAGAUAUGAGGGAUCUGGUGCUAGAGUCUCAAAGGAAUAUGUUGAACCAGUUGUCUCAAUUGCUGACAAAGGGGCUUGAAGAAAGGAAAAGUUUCAUGAUCAAUAUUGGGAAGGACAAUGAAGAGCCUCUCUAUUCUCCGGGUUUCACCCCGAUAAAUACUCAGCCGCAAGGUGUACCUAUUGUCAAAAUUCAGCAAUAUCAGGCCGGUACCUCUGUACUGGUAGAUUACCCGACAGGCUCAGACUCCAAGCCGGGGGGCAACCCAACCAAUCUUGAAGUUCUUGAUUUAGAUGAAAUGGAAAAAGCAGAGAGGGAAUUGCCAAGACAACUUGAGGAUCGGUAUAGGUGGUUGGAGGAAAAAUUGAAAGCAAUGGAGAAUGUUGACCUCUACUAUGGGAUUGAUGCUAAGGAUCUGAGUUUGGUUCCCGAUCUAGUACUCCCACCAAAAUUUAAAACUCCAGAGUUUGAAAAGUACAAUGGUGUAAUACCCCCUACCCGUAUUCAUUUCCGGAAUACGGUACGAGGUAUUACCGGAGUUUACGAAUUUAUUUAUUUAUUUAUUUUUUUAGGAAAACUCAAUAUAAUCCCUUUACAGAUAUCUAACCUUCCCUGCAAUAUUAUAUCGAGACCAAUCCAAAUCAACCAAUCCAAUUCAACAUAUUUUCAAGAUAAAUUCAUGCAUAUUUAUAAAAUAACGUCAUCACAUACCCAAAACCAGGUUUGUUAACCAUACCAAUGGCUAACUCUACAUUCAUUUCACAUAAUCAUUUACUUUAUUAGCUUAUACAUGCCACUGAUUUGCAAAAUAAAGUUUCUUUAUAUACCGAAGUCCUGAGGUUGAUAGUGUGAUGUGUCUCUGACCAAAUCCGACCUCUGAGCUCUUAACACCACAAAACAGGGAAAAAGGAAACGGGGUAAGCACUUUGUGCUUAGUAAGCUCAUGUAACAAGAAUUAUACUUACCUAAUAUUUUCAAUACAAUACAAUAAACAUUCCUAUAUCCAUUCAAUCCAUUAUUAUCCUAAUAUGCACAAACUCAACAUUCAAGUUAGUACAAUAAUUUCCAUGUACCAAUAAUAUAUACUAUGAUUGAUGUGCUCAUCAAUACCAUGAUUUCCAUUUCCUUGUUAUUUUUCCAUAUUUAUCCCAUUGAAUUUCUUGGAAUUUUCGAUGGAUUUUCAGAGAUACACUUUUAGUGUACAUUUCCGGGUCCGUUAAUUCAUAUUCAUGUGCGCACAUAUCCAUUUCAGAGAGCACACUCCUGCGAACCUCAACCGUGCAGCGGGAUUACCAGUCCAGGCUAAAUCCCCUGCAAUAUAAACUCAUAGAGUGUUGUCGGGAUUACCAGUCCAGUCUAAAUCCCCUGCAACGACAAUUACUCUAAUGAGCUUGGAUCUGAAUUACCAGUCCAGGCUAAAUUCAGACCCUAAUUCGGAUUACCCGUCCAGGCUAAAUCCAUUUUAGACAUAUUCUUCUGGAGGGCUAUAUCAGGAUAGGAUCACCCAUCCGGGCUAGAUCCUUUUUACCGUCAAUUCCUUUUCAGAGAUCCAUCGAAUUUUCCUUUCAUUCAACCGGGAUUUCUUCUCCUUUUAUCAAAUAUAUCAAUGUUUCAUAAAUUUUCAUACAAUGAACAUUCAAAUCAUACUCACAUAAAUAACAUACAAUCUCAAGCAUUUAAGAAUAUAAUUCAAGUUACAUGAACUUACCUUGAUACUUGUUUGUAAACAAAAAAAAAUCUACUAAUCUCGAACUUUUUCCUUUCCUCGAUCUAGCUUCGUAUUUGAAUCUUUUGGAUCUAAGUAAAUAAAUUUAAUUAUCAAUUUAAUACAUUUUAUGUUCAUAUGCAACAUUCUCUAUAAUUCAACUAUUAUUUAUAGUUCAUUCAAAGCUGUCUACUUGAGUCAUAGUCACUAAAUUAUUUUUAUCUUGAGAUACAGAACUCUAAAUUAGGAUCCGAUAAUUUUCCCUGAAACUAGACUCAUAUAUAUUCUUACCAUAAAAUUUUCAGAAUUUUUUGUUUAUCCAAUCAGUACAGUUUAUUCUUUAAAGUCACCCCUGUUCUGCUGUCGACAGUUCUGACCCUUCUUCACUAAAAAUUAAUUAUCUCUUCAUAAAGAAUUCAAAUGAUAUUAUCAUUUAUUUCUAUUAAAAAUAGACUCAUUAAGGAUUCUGUACAUAUAAAUUUAAGCCCCUAAUUGUUUUUAUUCAAUUUUUUAUGAAUUUUCAAAGUCAGAAUAGGGGAACCCGAAUUCAUUCUGCCUUGUCUCACAAAAUUUAUUAUAUCUAAAAAUUUACAAAUCCAUUGCUUACAAUAUUUCUUGUAUGAGAAACUAGACUCAAUAAGAUUUAAUUAAAUAUUUUUUUCACAUUCUAAUUCGAUUUCUACAAUUUAUGGUGAUUUUUCAAAGUUAGUCUACUGCUGCUGUCCAAACUGUUUUUGUGCAAGCUGUUUAUUACCAUUUUUGCCCUAAGCUUUUAAUAAAUGAUAAUUUCGUCCCUACUCAAUUAGCCUCUCAAUUGAACUGAUUUUUCUCAAUUAAUAUUUUAUUCUAUCACCUUAAACUAGUUUACAACCUUUAGGAAUCAGAAUUUCAGCAAUAGACUUUAAUUCCAAGUAUUUUCACAAUUAGGUCCUAAAAAUCAAUUUCUAUUGAAAUUACCUAAUAAAAUCAUCUCAUAAACAAAUUAAAGCUUUAAUUUCAUUCUAUUUCAUCAUAAAAUUACAGAAAUCAACCAUGGUGGCUUUCAAUUUCAUCCAUGAAAUCAAAAACUAAUGAAUUUAAUAGUAUGACCUAGUUGUAAAGGUCUUAGAAACACAAAAAUUGCAAGAAAAAGGCAAGGAUUAACUCACUUGGUGCAAAAAUUAUGAAAUACCAGCUUAUAGAACCGUCCUAUGGUGUUUUUAGCUGCUGGAAUUGAAGAGAAAUGAAGAGAAAUCUAGAUAUUUCCUAUUUAGUCCUAGCUUUAUUUAGUUAAUUUUGCAAUAUUCCAAUUUUACCCUUAAUUUAUCAAUUUUUCUGCUGAUUUCAUACCCUUGCCGUCCAGCCCAAAUAACUUUUGGGUCUAAUUCCAUUUUAAAUCCUUUCUCAUUAGACUCUUAAGCUAUUUAAUCAUUCUAGCAACUUUUACACCUAUUACAAUUUAGUCCUUUUCAUUUAAUUGACUACCCAAACAUUAAAAUUUCCUAACGAAAUUUUAGUACCACACUAAUAAAAUUUCAUAAAUAUUUAUAAAAUUAUAUUCGACUCGGUUUUACAAGAUAGAGGUCCCAACAUAUUGUUUUUACCCAAUUUCUUCAAUAAUUUCUUUUUCUAACUAACCACUAAAUCGGUAAAAUUUUUCUAUCAAUAUUUUCAUACGAUUUUCCUAUCAUAUCAAUUUUUGUACAAAAAUAUUGAAAUAAAUUUCUCUUUAAAUCGGAUUUGUGGUUACGAAACCACUAUUCCGAUAACCUUGAAUUUAGGCCAUUACAAAUGGGACUAGUUGUCCUGAAGCUCACGUCACAAUGUUCUGUCGAAGGAUGACAGGAUAUGUUAAUAAUGACCAACUAUUAAUCCAUUGCUUCCAAGACAGUCUGAUCGAGUCAGCAGCUAAAUGGUAUAAUCAAUUGAGUCGUGCUAAAAUCAAAUCAUGGAAAGACUUAGCACAAGCCUUCAUGAAGCAAUAUAGUCUUGUAACAGACAUGGCACCCGAUAGAAUUACCCUGCAAAACAUGGAAAAGAAGCAAAAUGAGAGCUUCAGGCAAUAUGCUCAAAGAUGGAGAGAGGUAGCAACACAAGUCCAACCGCUUCUUCUGGAAAAAGAGAUUACGAUGCUUUUCAUCAAUAUUUUGAAGGCCCCAUUCAUUGACUAUAUGUUGGUAAGUGCUACUCUAAGUUUUUCAGAUAUAGUAGUAUCUGGUGAGAUGAUUGAAAGCGCGGCAAGAAAUGGACAGAUAGAUGUGGGAGAGAGCGUUAAACGGUCGACCCUAAUGAUCAAGGAAAAUAAAGUGAACAUCGUGAGCAUGCCUUCUAAAUUGGUCAACAUAGACCUGUUGAGGGUUGUAAUCACUAGUUAUCAAGGGGAAUUGGAAUGACUUAUCCUAAGAGAGGUCUAGGGAAUAAAAGUUUCCAAACCCUUAUGUACUUGGGAGUGUUUUAAACAAUGGGACUAUGGAAGAGAUCCUUGUAUUUUUAGAGUUGAUUUAGAGUAAUAUUCAAAACACGCUUGUUGCUUUAAGCCUAGGGGCAAUAAGAAUCCUUUUGUGAAAUAGGCUUGUGUCCAAAAUUUUUUAUUUCAAUAAAAUGCAUUCUUUUUGAAUAAAUAUUCUUUCAUUCUUUAUAUAUUCUUUUGUUCUUUGGACUAUUUUUUUUACAAUAUGCUUUCAUUCUUCAUUCAUGAUCAUACCAUACAAAUAAUUAUCCUUAGAAUAAUUUAUUUUUUGGAAUUUUCCUUUGUACCUACAAUAGGUCCCCAGAUAUCAAUGACAUGAGCAACGCUGUAAUUGACUCCCUUUUGGGGUGAGAUAUGUGUUUAAGCGGAUCUCAGGACUUUGAAGAUGACAGAGAUUGUGAUUUAUUUUUUGAUUUGUUAAGGACGAUAGAAUAAGAUGAAAAGCAGAUCCCACUUUACGAAGGGUCAAUGGACACUGUGAGCAAGGGGCAAAGAUCGAAACCUGAGUCAUCACAAAGACAAAAUGAAUCAUCAUUGCGUUAUUCCAAGAAUUCGAAGAUGUUUUCGCAUGAUCAUGUCGAGAUAUACCUAAGAUAUUAGGAUCUGUGGAUGAUACAAAAUGUCUAUACAAUUCUAGAAGGACACAUGUUAAUGGUAGCCACGCUAAUCAUGAGGUUUGGGUAUUGAUAAUCCACCAUGGAAGGGGAUGGCAUUAGUUAAACUGUAUUUAGGGAGACAAGCCACAUUCAUUUCUUCACAGACUUUCUCUAUAUGGGGCAUGGAUGUUGUCAGGCCAUUCUCGUCUAAUACACAUUGAUUCAUCUUGGCAGUUAUUGAUUACUUCAUGAAGAGGGUGAAGGUUGCUUCAUAUGCCAAUAUUACAAGGUCAACAGUCAUCAAAUUCUAAAAAAAAAAGGUUGUUGACAAGUAAUGUCAGAAAGGAUCACUUUCAAAUACAACUGCACAAUGUCAAAAGUUUGCAGUCUGUUCAAAGAUCAGACACCAUAUUACCGUGUAAUAAAGGCAUCUAAAAAGAAAAACAAAAGUUCAAAAAUAGAAAAGAAAAGGGAAAGCAGUGAAGCCAUAAAACAAAGGUCAUAGUGAAAGACGACCGAGCCUUGUAAGGAUUGGUAUAAAGAAGUUAUCAUUUACCCUCUACACUUAUCGAACGGGGGCCGGGACCUUCACCGGGGCAACACAUUGAUUUAUAGGACUGAAACAGUUUUUGAAAACGAGAUUUCUUUUCUUCGAGUCUUGGCAGAACUAAAGUUAGAUGAAUCGGAAUGGGUCCAAUCCUGAUAUGAUCAGUCAAAUUUAAAGGAUAUCCGUCAUAGUGAGAUGAUGCGGGUUUAUGACAGAAAGGUUUAUCCUUGAGAAUUCCAUAAGGGGAGCUUGAUAUUGAAGAAGAUCUUUCCUAUACAAAAGGACUUCAAAGGAAGAAAUAUGCCAAGCUAAGAGAGAUCUUAUGUAAAGGAGGCCUAUUUUGGAGGAGCAUUGAUAUUGACCAAAAAGAUUUGCCUAGUUCGGAGUUCAAAAUGCUGUCAAAGAGUAUUCUACCUAAAAUGGGAGAGGCCAAGGUGAAAACCCGCAAAGGUCACCUUGAGAACUUAAAAAAUAAAAAUAAAAAAAGAGAAAGAAAUAAAAAGAGAAAAUAAAAAAGAAAGAAAGAAAGAAUCAAUCAAAAAAAAAGAAGAAAGAAAAGGAGAGGCCAAGGCGAAAACCCGCAAAGGGCGCUUUGAGACCAAAGGGGAUUUGAGUUGAAAACCCGAAAAAGGGCGGCUCAAAUUUGGAUCAAAAUGGGAUAUACAGUAGUCUUUCCAUACAUGAAUUAACAAUGAAGGAAGUAUGUUAUGUCUUGGGGAAUUGACAAAGUACUCCGGAUCCCCUAAACACAGAUUGAGCUCAGAAUGGUCCUCAAGAAGUUGGUAUAGAGAAGCUCAAGUUGCGAUAUCUGGAGCACCUAGCUUUUUAUUUUUACCCAUUUUUUUACUAUCUUUGAUUACCUGAUUCUUUUCAAGGCACAUCCAAGUAAAUUCCUUUCUUGAUUGCAUUUGCUUAUUUGUUUCGAGCUAUGUUCUCAAUUAAUUCCUUCCUUGUCCAUGGUUAUGAUCUUUUUUCAAGCAUUUUGCAUUGAAAUAACGAUUUCUGGGCUAAUAAUACUUUCAUAAAAGGAGUUUCGCAUAUUACUUUGGGAAGUUUCUAAAUAAUACAGGAGCUUGAAACUAGAUUAUUGUUUAAAACUCACCAAGCUUAAGGGUUGGAAAUAUUUAAGCCCAAAUUGAGAUUAUCUCUUUGGAUUUUCUAUCAAAGAUAUUAAUUGGUGUUAUAAUCCCGGCAAAGAACGAGUAAUGGGGUUAUUCUUGAGAAAAGAAAAAUGAUAUUCUGUAUUCUUACAGAUAUCAGACAUAUACGUCUGCUCAUUACACCCAGAGAAUGGUGUAACAGAUCCAAUUGAUUGAAGAUGAUGCAAAUCCUAUACCUCUGAGUUGCCACAGGAUGGAAGAAAUCAAAUGAUUAUUCCCCUGAGGUUGCAGUGGGAAGUUCAAACUUUAUGUCCCAGAAGUUACAGUGUAAGGGACUCUGAAAUUACAGUGGGGCAAGCUUGCUGAACAGAAUGUGAUUGUUUCUUUGGGUCUUCUGCAAAAAAUACCAGCCGAACAAGAUGGCAGCAUAAUAAAUUAGUGAUAGUGUCCUGAUGAACAACAAGCGAUGAUACCUUAAGCAUUUAAAAAAAAGAGAUCAUUCAAAAAAAAGAUCAUUUUCAUUCAUAUAUCAUUCAUAACACGUUAGGAGCAUUUGAUUCAUUUCGAUCAUAGCAUCCUAAUUAUUUGACACCAGCAUCACAUCUAAUUAGGAGUAUUUGAUUCAUUUUGAUCAUAGCAUCCUAAUUAUUUGACAUAAGCAUCACAUCUAGUUAGGAGCAUUUGAUUCAUUUCGAUCAUAGCAUCCUAAUUAUUUAACAUCAGCAUCACAUCUAGUUAGGAGUAUUUGAUCGUAGCAUCCUAAUUAUUUGGGCAUAAACAUGAUACAUGAAAUCGAGUCUACAAGACAAGUCCAAGAGGAUGGUGUAGUAACAUCGGUGAAGUCAGACUUAUAUCCCUGAAGUUACAGUAGAGUAGGUUGAAGUGACAAGUCUUAUCUCUCUGAAGUUGCAGUGGAGCAGGCUCAAUAUACAAGUCUUAUCUUCCUAAGGUAGCAAGGAAGCAGAUUGAAGGUUGAAGAUCUUAUCUCCCUAGGCAAUAGUUGGGCAGAUCGAAGAUGGCGAAUCUUAUCUCCAUGUAUCGGCAAUGGAGCAGAUUUUAGCCACCAGCCUUAUCUCUCUGAAGUAGCAAGGGAGCAGGUUGGCGAUUGUAGUCUUAUCUUCUUGAGGUAGCAAGGAAGCAGACUGAAGAUUGAAUAUCUUAUCUCCAUGUACCGGUAAUGGAGCAGAUUUUAGCCAUUGACCUUAUCUCUCUGAGGUAGCAAGAGAGCAGGUUGAAGAUGAUAGUCUUAUCCUCUUGAGGCAGCAAUGAAGCAGACUGAAGAUUGCAGGUCUUAUUUCCCUAAGCAGUAGUGGAAUAAACCAAAGACGACAAAUCUUAUCUCCAUGUACCGGCAAUAGAGUAGAUUUAAGUCCCCAGCCUUAUCUCUCUGAAGUUGCAGUGGGGUAGGCUCGAUAUACAAGUCUCUAUCUCCCUGAGGUUGUAGUGGAGCAGACUGAAGAUUGGAGGCAAAUCUUAUCUUCAUGUAUCGACAAUGGAGCAGAUUUAAGCCCCAAGCCUUAUCUCUCUGAGGUAGCAAGAGAGCAGGUUGAAUAUUGAAGUCUUAUCGUCCUGAGGUAGCAAGGAAGCAGACUGAAUAUUGGAGGCAAAUCUUAUCUCCAUGUAUCGACAAUAGAGCAGAUUUAAGCCUGAAGCCUUAUCUCUCUGAGGUAGCAAGAGAGCAGGUUAAAGAUUGAGUCUUAUCUUUCUGAAGUAGUAAGAAAGCAGACUAAAGAUUGAAGAUCUUAUCUCCCCUAAGCAGUAGUGGAGCAGAUCGAAGAUGGCGAAUCUUAUCUCCAUGUACUGGCAAUGGAGCAGAUUUUAGCCACUAGCCUUAUCUCUCUGAAGUAGCAAGAGAGCAGGUUGGCGAUUUUAGUCUUAUCUUCCUGAGGUACCAAGGAAGUAGACUGAAGACUAAAGAUCUAUUUCCCUAAAGCAGUUGCGGAGCAGAUUGAGAAUAGUAAAUCUUAUCUCCAUGUAUUGGCAAUGGAACAGAUUUAAGUCAAUAGUCCUAUUUCCUUACAGUCAGAAUGCAGCAAAACCAAGCAAAAUUGGCCCUAUUUGAAGUCUUUGCUCUAUUCUCAUUACACGACAAUGAGCAAAGAGGGGCAGCUGUAAUGGCUGAUUUUUUGCCGGGGCCCAUACAAAAACCAAAAAACAAAAUAAACCAAAAUUAAAGUCCAAUGUCCAUAAUACCCAAGCCCAAAAUCCAAAAUAACAAGACCCAACAAAAUACGGCCCAAAUGACCCAAAAAAAACCCCCAAACCCUAGCCUGCUGCCUACUGCAGACACCAGCAGCUUCCGCCCAGCCUCCAUGCUCCACAACGGCCUCCACGCUCACGAACGGUUUCCCCACGCCAUGCACACCUACAACAAACGAAAACCACAACAGCAAAUGACGGCAAACCGAAUUACAGCAAUCAAAUAGAGGAGAAAAAUGGAAAAAUUGUAAAUAUUAUAUUUCAUUUUUGGCUAUAAAAAGCCAUUGUAAAUAUUGAUUUUGAGGAUACACGGAUUGAAAAAAAAACAAUUAGAAUUGAAAAGGUGAUUCAAGUUUUCAGUUUUUUUUUUGUUUUCAGAUUUCGUUUUUUUAAUAUUUUUUCUCUUCUAUUCUUUUCUCUCAUAUUUCACAUGAAGAGAAUAAAGGAAAAGAGUACUUGCCUUUGGCCUUUGAUCGCAUCUCUUUUGCUCAUGGUCGGCCACCAAGUUUGAUGGUGGUUCAGCAGUGACUUUGAGAGCCCUAACAUUAGAGAUUUGAUUUGCUGUUUGCAAAAAUGGCAGUGCCAUUCAUUUUUUUUUCUUUAAUUUUGAUUGCAAAGAAACAACACCGUUUCAAGGGGAAAUGUUUGGUUAUUUGCUGCAGAUGGUUAAUUUAUGCGAUUAAUCCCUCCCCUUCGCGUUGAUUUUCAAUUGGAUCCUAUUUGUGUUUUAUUUGUUUUUUAAAUUUUUCCUAAAAUCUGUGUGCUAUUUUAAUUUAGCCCGCGUUUAAGCUUUAUGUUUUCGGACCAGGAUUAUUCCCAACUUUAGUCCCUUAGCAUUUACGCGCAUUAUGCAUUAGCCCUCUGUUUAAUUUCAAAAUUUAUAAAUUAUCCCCUUUCAUUUUAAAUUUAUUUCAAUUAGGAUUUUUGUUUAUAUGAUUUAUUAUUUUUGAGGAGACUCAUUUAAUAUAUUUUUUAUGUGUCAGAAUUGUUUUAAUAAUUUUUAUUUUUGUUUAAAUAAAUCUUUGUUUUGAAAUCUUUAUACUAUUUUACAGUACGUAUAGAAUUUGAUUUAAAUAUUCAUGUUGAGCUUUCUAUUUGAAAUGCUUAUUAUUUUAAAAUUUACUUAAUAUUCUUAUAUAUGUGUUAAUUUAAAAAAAAAGAAAUAAUUUUGUUUUAUUUUUAUUUGUACAGUUAUUUUGGAGUUGAUUUUAUUAUAUUAUUUUUAACAUUUUUUUAUAAUUUUUCGACUAAAUAUUUCCGGAUAUGUUUGUACAUAUAUUAUUUUAAUGGGCUUUUUUUUAUUUUAAAAUACUUAUUGUUUUAAAAUUCAUUAAAUUAUGUGUGUAAAGUUACUUGGGAGCUGCAUUUUUUUUUGUGUUAAUAAAAUUAUUAUUUUGAAAUUCCUCAUUAUGUCAUAUUAUUUUAAUAUAUUAUGUAGUAUCUUAUUUUAAGUGUUUUUAUGUAUAACGGUACGUAUAUAAUUUAUAGAUUAACUUAAUUUUAUAUAUAUUAUUAAUCUCAUGCUAUUUUUUACAAACAAUUAUUCCUAAAUCUAUUUAUGUAUGCAUGUUUUUUUAAUCACUAUACCUUAUCAUGUAUUUUUAUUAUUCUUUCAUAUUUUAUAUAUUAUUUAAGUUAUCAUGUACAUAGUCAAUUUUUGAAUGAAUUUGUGUUUAAAAUAGUUUGCAUAUAAUUCAAUUCAAACUUUUAUUCUAUAAUAUCUAUUUCAAUAAUUAUAUAUCCCUAGUCUUUGUGCAAAUUUGUCAACUUAUCUAUUAUAUAUAUUAUGUAUUCAUUAAUUCAUCAUUAUUUUGAAAAUGUCUUAUACCACAAUUGACUUCUAAUUUCCAUUUUAUUUUGUACAUGUUUUGUGGAUCGUUUCAUAUUGUGCCAUAUUUAUUGUUGUUGUAUAUUAUUUAGUCAUUGUUUUAUCAAUUUUUCUCCAUCCAUUAUUAAGAAUUUGGUUACAUUUCACUUAGAAUAAUUGUACUUAAUUGUUGGAUUUAUUAGUUGUGAUUUAUUGUACUUUAUGUGUGCACAUUAUUUCGUGUUUAUUCAUUUCUUUUUACGAAUGUUUUCUUGUAAUACCUCAAAUGUUCCAUCUCAUUUUAAAACAAAUAAAUGUGUUUUGAGCGAAUUUUCAAUUUUCCUUAUUAUUCAAAAAUUCUGAAAUAAGGCAAUAUCCAAUAUUUGGGUAUUUGAGAAAUCGUGCUCAAUCGUGCUGGGUAUGAUUUUUUCGGUGAACUAAAUAUUUGGAUAACCUUUUAUAAUUUUAGUGUACGAGUUUUUGAAAGUCAAAAGUCGAUCGUAUUUUUGAAGGUAUAAAGGAUCGUAUCCAAUCAUGCUGGGUAUGAUGCUGCAUAUCUUUGAAAUGAGAGAAUUUUGACAGUUAACUUGAACUAUUCACACAUUUUAAAGAAUCAUGCUUUGAAAGAUCUUUUUUCUUAAAAUCUUUGAUAUAAGGAUAGCAUCGAAUCAAUUUGGUACCAAUUUUUGGGCGUAAUGAGGCUGCUUAUCCUUCCUCAUGAAUAACCGACUCCCGAACCCAUUUGUUUUUUAUUUUACGUGAACCAAAAUUGUCUUUAAUGGAACAAAACAUUUUAAUAGGUGGCCCAAUCACACCUAAACCGACAGACUGGUGGCGACUCCACAUUUUUGUUUUAAAAAGUCGAUUCUCAUUUUUCCUAACUCUAAAAAAGGGGUUCGACAGCUUGGCGACUCCACUGGGGAUUGAACAAAGAGGGUCAGGCCAUAAAAUUGAUUAUUUGUUUUCCUUUUGUCAAAGAAUUGAAAUUUUGUCUUGAAAAUCAUGAUUCUUUUAAUUGCAUUUGUUUGCAUGAUUAUUGUGGUUCGAGUCUUGUAAAAUAAUAUGACAUUACAUUGCAUGACCUCUGUGGUUAUACCUGUUAAGUGGGAGUAAGAAACUAUGCUUUUGUGAGGUUUUCACCUCCGCAUGAGCUAGUGGAUUGCUUCCGGGAUACAUCCGUACCUAUGAUUUCGUAAGGUUUUUAUCUCUGCAUGGUCAUAGGGAAAUGUAUUCCCCUGAACCGAACUCGAUUCAUAUGAGCCUAUAAUGGGUAAGAAUUGAGGAAUCUGCUAGUUCAGGUACCCUUUCUCUAAAACCAAACCACAUAUAGUGAAUCUUGAGAAUCCACCUUAAGUAGAACCUUGCCCAAAUUUAGUGGUCACCCAAAUAGGUACUUUAUUUGAUAUUUAUUUCACUUGUACUAACGUGUUUUGUUUUUUUUUUGUUUAUAACUGCAUUGCAUUACAUCAUCAUAGAAAGCAGGUGUUGAUUCAUAUUUGAUUGCUAAAUAGAAUAGUUUGUCAUAAGAAAAUGAAUUUCCUGAUAAAGUGGAUUAUAAUACGGUUGUCUAAAUAGACGGAAGAAGGCUGACAGUUCGUGGAGAAAAACAAGUCUCUACUUGAAGAUUCAAGCUGAUAAAGAUUGUUUGAAAGCCGUCGCGUCUCGAUUUUCUUAACAGAGCUAAUCAAUGUCAUGAGGAUAAUAAGUCGUGGCCUGGAUCAAGCAAAGAAGGGCUAGUGGAGGCAUUUAUUGGAGGCUUGCGAGAUUUGGAUUUCACGAAGAAAAGGGAUUGGUGUUUUCACCUGGAAUAUGAAAGCAAUGCCGUAUAUGUAAUCUGUUUUAUGUAAAGGAAUUUGUUUUCUAGAAAAGUUGUUCUAAUGGAAUUAAAUUCAAAAUCAACACCUCUCUUUCUUUUGCAUUCAUCCCAUGCAUUUGCAUUGCAUUGCAUCAUUUCAUCAUUUGCAUUAAAUUUUCAUAAAAGGGGUCCCUAAUUAGUUGAAAUCAUUUCAGUUAAUCUGGGAACCAAUAAAAACUUACCAAUCAAGCGUCGUUACGGUACCUGUGCUAAGACAAAAGAUAUGGAUCAAAGGUUGAAAAGACUUGAACAACUUCAAAGAGAGAUGCAAGACCAGUUACAAAUACAGAUGCAAGAGCAAGUGGCGAAGAUUAGGCAAGAUAUGAGGGAUCUGGUGCUAGAGUCUCAAAGGAAUAUGUUGAACCAGUUGUCUCAAUUGCUGACAAAGGGGCUUGAAGAAAGGAAAAGUUUCAUGAUCAAUAUUGGGAAGGACAAUGAGGAGCCUCUCUAUUCUCCGGGUUUCACCCCGAUAAAUACUCAGCCGCAAGGUGUACCUAUUGUCAAAAUUCAGCAAUAUCAGGCCGGUACCUCUGCACUGGUAGAUUACCCGACAGGCUCAGACUCCAAGCCGGGGGGCAACCCAACCAAUCUUGAAGUUCUUGAUUUAGAUGAAAUGGAAAAAGCAGAGAGGGAAUUGCCAAGACAACUUGAGGAUCGGUAUAGGUGGUUGGAGGAAAAAUUGAAAGCAAUGGAGAAUGUUGACCUCUACUAUGGGAUUGAUGCUAAGGAUCUGAGUUUGGUUCCCGAUCUAGUACUCCCACCAAAAUUUAAAACUCCAGAGUUUGAAAAGUACAAUGGUGUAAUACCCCCUACCCGUAUUCAUUGCCGGAAUACGGUACGAGGUAUUACCGGAGUUUACGAAUUUAUUUAUUUAUUUUUUUAGGAAAACUCAAUAUAAUCCCUUUACAGAUAUCUAACCUUCCCUGCAAUAUUAUAUCGAGACCAAUCCAAAUCAACCAAUCCAAUUCAACAUAUUUUCAAGAUAAAUUCAUGCAUAUUUAUAAAAUAACGUCAUCACAUACCCAAAACCAGGUUUGUUAACCAUACCAAUGGCUAACUCUACAUUCAUUUCACAGAAUCAUUUACUUUAUUAGCUUAUACAUGCCACUGAUUUGCAAAAUAAAGUUUCUUUAUAUACCGAAGUCCUGAGGUUGAUAGUGUGAUGUGUCUCUGACCAAAUCCGACCUCCGAGCUCUUAACACCACAAAACAGGGAAAAAGGAAACGGGGUAAGCACUUUGUGCUUAGUAAGCUCAUGUAACAAGAAUUAUACUUACCUAAUAUUUUCAAUACAAUACAAUAAACAUUCCUAUAUCCAUUCAAUCCAUUAUUAUCCUAAUAUGCACAAUCCAACAUUCAAGUUAGUACAAUAAUUUCCAUGUACCAAUAAUAUAUACUAUGAUUGAUGUGCUCAUCAAUACCAUGAUUUCCAUUUCCUUGUUAUUUUUCCAUAUUUAUCCCAUUGAAUUUCUUGGAAUUUUCGAUGGAUUUUCAGAGAUACACUUUUAGUGUACAUUUCCGGGUCCGUUAAUUCAUAUUCAUGUGCGCACAUAUCCAUUUCAGAGAGCACACUCCUGCGAACCUCAACCGUGCAGCGGGAUUACCAGUCCAGGCUAAAUCCCCUGCAAUAUAAACUCAUAGAGUGUUGUCGGGAUUACCAGUCCAGUCUAAAUCCCCUGCAACGACAAUUACUCUAAUGAGCUUGGAUCUGAAUUACCAGUCCAGGCUAAAUUCAGACCCCAAUUCGGAUUACCCGUCCAGGCUAAAUCCAUUUUACACAUAUUCUUCUGGAGGGCUAUAUCAGGAUAGGAUCACCCAUCCGGGCUAGAUCCUUUUUACCGUCAAUUCCUUUUCAGAGAUCCAUCGAAUUUUCCUUUCAUUCAACCGGGAUUUCUUCUCCUUUUAUCAAAUAUAUCAAUGUUUCAUAAAUUUUCAUACAAUGAACAUUCAAAUCAUACUCACAUAAAUAACAUACAAUCUCAAGCAUUUAAGAAUAUAAUUCAAGUUACAUGAACUUACCUUGAUACUUGUUUGUAAACAAAAAAAAAUCUACUAAUCUCGAACUUUUUCCUUUCCUCGAUCUAGCUUCGUAUUUGAAUCUUCUGGAUCUAAGUAAAUAAAUUUAAUUAUCAAUUUAAUACAUUUCAUGUUCAUAUGCAACAUUCUCUAUAAUUCAACUAUUAUUUAUAGUUCAUUCAAAGCUGUCUACUUGAGUCAUAGUCACUAAAUUAUUUUUAUCUUGAGAUACAGAACUCAAAAUUAGGAUCCGAUAAUUUUCCCUGAAACUAGACUCAUAUAUAUUCUUACCAUAAAAUUUUCAGAAUUUUUUGUUUAUCCAAUCAGUACAGUUUAUUCUUUAAAGUCACCCCUGUUCUGCUGUCGACAGUUCUGACCCUUCUUCACUAAAAAUUAAUUAUCUCUUCAUAAAGAAUUCAAAUGAUGUUAUCAUUUGUUUCUAUUAAAAAUAGACUCAUUAAGGAUUCUGUACAUAUAAAUUUAAGUCCCUAAUUGUUUUUCUUCAAUUUUUUAUGAAUUUUCAAAGUCAGAAUAGGGGAACCCGAAUUCAUUCUGCCUUGUCUCACAAAAUUUAUUAUAUCUAAAAAUUUACAAAUCCAUUGCUUAUAAUAUUUCUUGUAUGAGAAACUAGACUCAAUAAGCUUUAAUUAAAUAUUUUUUUCAUAUUCUAAUUCGAAUUUAUGGUGAUUUUUCAAAGUUAGUCUACUGCUGCUGUCCAAACUGUUUUUGUGCAAGCUGUUUAUUACCAUUUUUUCCCUAAGCUUUUAAUAAAUGAUAAUUUCGUCCCUACUCAAUUAGCCUCUCAAUUGAACUGAUUUUUCUCAAUUAAUAUUUUAUUCUAUCACCUUAAACUAGUUUACAACCUUUAGGAAUCAGAAUUUCAGCAAUAGACUUUAAUUCCAAGUAUUUUCACAAUUAGGUCCUAAAAAUCAAUUUCUAUUGAAAUUACCUAAUAAAAUCAUCUCAUAAACAAAUUAAAGCUUUAAUUUCAUUCUAUUUCAUCAUAAAAUUACAGAAAUCAACCAUGGUGGCUUUCAAUUUCAUCCAUGAAAUCAAAAACUAAUGAAUUUAAUAGUAUGACCUAGUUGUAAAGGUCUUAGAAACACAAAAAUUACAAGAAAAAGUCAAGGAUUAACUCACUUGGUGCAAAAAUUAUGAAAUACCAGCUUAUAGAACCGUCCUAUGGUGUUUUUAGCUGCUGGAAUUGAAGAGAAAUGAAGAGAAAUCUAGAUAUUUCCUAUUUAGUCCUAGCUUUAUUUAGUUAAUUUUGCAAUAUUCCAAUUUUACCCUUAAUUUAUCAAUUUUUCUGCUGAUUUCAUACCCUUGCCGUCCAGCCCAAAUAACUUUUGGGUCUAAUUCCCUUUUAAAUCCUUUCUCAUUAGACUCUUAAGCUAUUUAAUCAUUCUAGCAACUUUUACACCUAUUACAAUUUAGUCCUUUUCAUUUAAUUGACUACCCAAACAUUAAAAUUUCCUAACGAAAUUUUAGUACCACACUAAUAAAAUUUCAUAAAUAUUUAUAAAAUUAUAUUCGACUCGGUUUUACAAGAUAGAGGUCCCAACAUAUUGUUUUUACCCAAUUUCUUCAAUAAUUUCUUUUUCUAACUAACCACUAAAUCGGUAAAAUUUUUCUAUCAAUAUUUUCAUACGAUUUUCCUAUCAUAUCAAUUUUCGUGCAAAAAUAUUGAAAUAAAUUUCUCUUUAAAUCGGAUUUGUGGUUACGAAACCACUAUUCUAAUAACCUUGAAUUUAGGCCAUUACAAAUGGGACUAGUUGUCCUGAAGCUCACGUCACAAUGUUCUGUCGAAGGAUGACAGGAUAUGUUAAUAAUGACCAACUAUUAAUCCAUUGCUUCCAAGACAGUCUGAUCGAGUCAGCAGCUAAAUGGUAUAAUCAAUUGAGUCGUGCUAAAAUCAAAUCAUGGAAAGACUUAGCACAAGCCUUCAUGAAGCAGUAUAGUCUUGUAACAGACAUGGCACCCGAUAGAAUUACCCUGCAAAAUAUGGAAAAGAAGCAAAAUGAGAGCUUCAGGCAAUAUGCUCAAAGAUGGAGAGAGGUAGCAACACAAGUCCAACCGCUUCUUCUGGAAAAAGAGAUUACGAUGCUUUUCAUCAAUAUUUUGAAGGCCCCAUUCAUUGACUAUAUGUUGGUAAGUGCUACUCUAAGUUUUUCAGAUAUAGUAGUAUCUGGUGAGAUGAUUGAAAGCGCGGCAAGAAAUGGACAGAUAGAUGUGGGAGAGAGCGUUAAACGGUCGACCCUAAUGAUCAAGGAAAAUAAAGUGAACAUCGUGAGCAUGCCUUCUAAAUUGGUCAACAUAGACCUGUUGAGGGUUGUAAUCACUAGUUAUCAAGGGGAAUUGGAAUGACUUAUCCAAAGAGAGGUCCAGGGAAUAAAAGUUUCCAAACCCUUAUGUACUUGGGAGUGUUUUAAACAAUGGGACUAUGGAAGAGAUCCUUGUAUUUUUAGAGUUGAUUUAGAGUAAUAUUCAAAACACGCUUGUUGCUUUAAGCCUAGGGGCAAUAAGAAUCCUUUUGUGAAAUAGGCUUGUGUCCAAAAUUUUUUAUUUCAAUAAAAUGCAUUAUUUUUGAAUAAAUAUUCUUUCAUUCUUUAUAUAUUCUUUUGUUCUUUGGACUAUUUUUUUUACAAUAUGCUUUCAUUCUUCAUUCAUGAUCAUACCAUACAAAUAAUUAUCCUUAGAAUAAUUUAUUUUUUGGAAUUUUCCUUUGUACCUACAAUAGGUCCCCAGAUAUCAAUGACAUGAGCAACGCUGUAACUGACUCCCUUUUGGGGUGAGAUAUGUGUUUAAGCGGAUCUCAGGACUUUGAAGAUGACAGAGAUUGUGAUUUAUUUUUUGAUUUGUUAAGGACGAUAGAAUAAGAUGAAAAGCAGAUCCCACUUUACGAAGGGUCAAUGGACACUGUGAGCAAGGGGCAAAGAUCGAAACCUGAGUCAUCACAAAGACAAAAUAAAUCAUCAUUGCGUUAUUCCAAGAAUUCGAAGAUGUUUUCGCAUGAUCAUGUCGAGAUAUACCUAAGAUAUUAGGAUCUGUGGAUGAUACAAAAUGUCUAUACAAUUCUAGAAGGACACAUGUUAAUGGUAGCCACGCUAAUCAUGAGGUUUGGGUAUUGAUAAUCCACCAUGGAAGGGGAUGGCAUUAGUUAAACUGUAUUUAGGGAGACAAGCCACAUUCAUUUCUUCACAGACUUUCUCUAUAUGGGGCAUGGAUGUUGUCAGGCCAUUCUCGUCUAAUACACAUUGAUUCAUCUUGGCAGUUAUUGAUUACUUCAUGAAGAGGGUGAAGGUUGCUUCAUAUGCCAAUAUUACAAGGUCAACAGUCAUCAAAUUCUAAAAAAAAAAAGGUUGUUGACAAGUAAUGUCAGAAAGGAUCACUUUCAAAUACAACUGCACAAUGUCAAAAGUUUGCAGUCUGUUCAAAGAUCAGACACCAUAUUACCGUGUAAUAAAGGCAUCUAAAAAGAAAAACAAAAGUUCAAAAAUAGAAAAGAAAAGGGAAAGCAGUGAAGCCAUAAAACAAAGGUCAUAGUGAAAGACGACCGAGCCUUGUAAGGAUUGGUAUAAAGAAGUUAUCAUUUACCCUCUACACUUAUCGAACGGGGGCCGGGACCUUCACCGGGGCAACACAUUGAUUUAUAGGACUGAAACAGUUUUUGAAAACGAGAUUUCUUUUCUUCGAGUCUUGGCAGAACUAAAGUUAGAUGAAUCGGAAUGGGUCCAAUCCUGAUAUGAUCAGUCAAAUUUAAAGGAUAUCCGUCAUAGUGAGAUGAUGCGGGUUUAUGACAGAAAGGUUUAUCCUUGAGAAUUCCAUAAGGGGAGCUUGAUAUUGAAGAAGAUCUUUCCUAUACAAAAGGACUUCAAAGGAAGAAAUAUGCCAAGCUAAGAGAGAUCUUAUGUAAAGGAGGCCUAUUUUGGAGGAGCAUUGAUAUUGACCAAAAAGAUUUGCCUAGUUCGGAGUUCAAAAUGCUGUCAAAGAGUAUUCUACCUAAAAUGGGAGAGGCCAAGGUGAAAACCCGCAAAGGUCACCUUGAGAACUUAAAAAAUAAAAAUAAAAAAAGAGAAAGAAAUAAAAAGAGAAAAUAAAAAAGAAAGAAAGAAAGAAUCAAUCAAAAAAAAAAGAAGAAAGAAAAGGAGAGGCCAAGGCGAAAACCCGCAAAGGGCGCUUUGAGACCAAAGGGGAUUUGAGUUGAAAACCCGAAAAAGGGCGGCUCAAAUUUGGAUCAAAAUGGGAUAUACAGUAGUCUUUCCAUACAUGAAUUAACAAUGAAGGAAGUAUGUUAUGUCUUGGGGAAUUGACAAAGUACUCCGGAUCCCCUAAACACAGAUUGAGCUCAGAAUGGUCCUCAAGAAGUUGGUAUAGAGAAGCUCAAGUUGCGAUAUCUGGAGCACCUAGCUUUUUAUUUUUACCCAUUUUUUUACUAUCUUUGAUUACCUGAUUCUUUUCAAGGCACAUCCAAGUAAAUUCCUUUCUUGAUUGCAUUUGCUUAUUUGUUUCGAGCUAUGUUCUCAAUUAAUUCCUUCCUUGUCCAUGGUUAUGAUCUUUUUUCAAGCAUUUUGCAUUGAAAUAACGAUUUCUGGGCUAAUAAUACUUUCAUAAAAGGAGUUUCGCAUAUUACUUUGGGAAGUUUCUAAAUAAUACAGGAGCUUGAAACUAGAUUAUUGUUUAAAACUCACCAAGCUUAAGGGUUGGAAAUAUUUAAGCCCAAAUUGAGAUUAUCUCUUUGGAUUUUCUAUCAAAGAUAUUAAUUGGUGUUAUAAUCCCGGCAAAGAACGAGUAAUGGGGUUAUUCUUGAGAAAAGAAAAAUGAUAUUCUAUAUUCCUACAGAUAUCAGACAUAUACGUCUGCUCAUUACACCCAGAGAAUGGUGUAACAGAUUCAAUUGAUUGAAGAUGAUGCAAAUCCUAUACCUCUGAGUUGCCACAGGAUGGAAGAAAUCAAAUGAUUAUUCCCCUGAGGUUGCAGUGGGAAGUUCAAACUUUAUGUCCCAGAAGUUACAGUGUAAGGGACUCUGAAAUUACAGUGGGGCAAGCUUGCUGAACAGAAUGUGAUUGUUUCUUUGGGUCUUCUGCAAAAAAUACCAGCCAAACAAGAUGGCAGCAUAAUAAAUUAGUGAUAGUGUUCUGAUGAACAACAAGCGAUGAUACCUUAAGCAUUUAAAAAAAAAGAGAUCAUUCAAAAAAAAGAUCAUUUUCAUUCAUAUAUCAUUCAUAACACGUUAGGAGCAUUUGAUUCAUUUCGAUCAUAGCAUCCUAAUUAUUUGACACCAGCAUCACAUCUAAUUAGGAGUAUUUGAUUCAUUUUGAUCAUAGCAUCCUAAUUAUUUGACAUAAGCAUCACAUCUAGUUAGGAGCAUUUGAUUCAUUUCGAUCAUAGCAUCCUAAUUAUUUAACAUCAGCAUCACAUCUAGUUAGGAGUAUUUGAUCGUAGCAUCCUAAUUAUUUGGGCAUAAACAUGAUACAUGAAAUCGAGUCUACAAGACAAGUCCAAGAGGAUGGUGUAGUAACAUCGGUGAAGUCAGACUUAUAUCCCUGAAGUUACAGUAGAGUAGGUUGAAGUGACAAGUCUUAUCUCUCUGAAGUUGCAGUGGAGCAGGCUCAAUAUACAAGUCUUAUCUUCCUAAGGUAGCAAGGAAGCAGAUUGAAGGUUGAAGAUCUUAUCUCCCUAGGAAAUAGUUGGGCAGAUCAAAGAUGGCGAAUCUUAUCUCCAUGUAUCGGCAAUGGAGCAGAUUUUAGCCACCAGCCUUAUCUUUCUGAAGUAGCAAGGGAGCAGGUUGGCGAUUGUAGUCUUAUCUUCUUGAGGUAGCAAGGAAGCAGACUGAAGAUUGAAUAUCUUAUCUCCAUGUACCGGUAAUGGAGCAGAUUUUAGCCAUUGACCUUAUCUCUCUGAGGUAGCAAGAGAGCAGGUUGAAGAUGAUAGUCUUAUCCUCUUGAGGCAGCAAGGAAGCAGACUGAAGAUUGCAGGUCUUAUUUCCCUAAGCAGUAGUGGAAUAAACCAAAGACGACAAAUCUUAUCUCCAUGUACCGGCAAUAGAGUAGAUUUAAGUCCCCAGCCUUAUCUCUCUGAAGUUGCAGUGGGGUAGGCUCGAUAUACAAGUCUCUAUCUCCCUGAGGUUGUAGUGGAGCAGACUGAAGAUUGGAGGCAAAUCUUAUCUUCAUGUAUCGACAAUGGAGCAGAUUUAAGCCCCAAGCCUUAUCUCUCUGAGGUAGCAAGAGAGCAGGUUGAAGAUUGAAGUCUUAUCGUCCUGAGGUAGCAAGGAAGCAGACUGAAUAUUGGAGGCAAAUCUUAUCUCCAUGUAUCGACAAUAGAGCAGAUUUAAGCCUGAAGCCUUAUCUCUCUGAGGUAGCAAGAGAGCAGGUUAAAGAUUGAGUCUUAUCUUUCUGAAGUAGUAAGAAAGCAGACUAAAGAUUGAAGAUCUUAUCUCCCCUAAGCAGUAGUGGAGCAGAUCGAAGAUGGCGAAUCUUAUCUCCAUGUACUGGCAAUGGAGCAGAUUUUAGCCACUAGCCUUAUCUCUCUGAAGUAGCAAGAGAGCAGGUUGGCGAUUUUAGUCUUAUCUUCCUGAGGUACCAAGGAAGUAGACUGAAGACUAAAGAUCUAUUUCCCUAAAGCAGUUGCGGAGCAGAUUGAGAAUAGCAAAUCUUAUCUCCAUGUAUUGGCAAUGGAACAGAUUUAAGUCAAUAGUCCUAUUUCCUUACAGUCAGAAUGCAGCAAAACCAAGCAAAAUUGGCCCUAUUUGAAGUCUUUGCUCUACUCUCAUUACACGACAAUGAGCAAAGAGGGGCAGCUGUAAUGGCUGAUUUUUUGCCGGGGCCCAUACAAAAACCAAAAAACAAAAUAAACCAAAAUUAAAGUCCAAUGUCCAUAAUACCCAAGCCCAAAAUCCAAAAUAACAAGACUCAACAAAAUAUGGCCCAAAUGACCCAAAAAAAACCCCCAAACCCUAGCCUGCUGCCUAGUGCAGACACCAGCAGCUUCCGCCCAGCCUCCAUGCUCCACAACGGCCUCCACGCUCACGAACGGUUUCCCCACGCCAUGCACACCUACAACAAACGAAAACCACAACAGCAAAUGACGGCAAACCGAAUUACAGCAAUCAAAUAGAGGAGAAAAAGGGAAAAAUUGUAAAUAUUAUAUUUCAUUUUUGGCUAUAAAAAGCCAUUGUAAAUAUUGAUUUUGAGGAUACACGGAUUGAAAAAAAAACAAUUAGAAUUGAAAAGGUGAUUCAAGUUUUCAGUUUUUUUUUUUAGUUUUCAGAUUUCGUUUUUUUAAUAUUUUUUCUCUUCUCUUCUUUUCUCUCAUAUUUCACAUGAAGAGAAUAAAGGAAAAGAGUACUUGCCUUUGGCCUUUGAUCGCAUCUCUUUUGCUCAUGGUCGGCCACCAAGUUUGAUGGUGGUUCAGCAGUGACUUUGAGAGCCCUAACAUUAGAGAUUUGAUUUGCUGUUUGCAAAAAUGGCAGUGCCAUUCAGUUUUUUUUCUUUAAUUUUGAUUGCAAAGAAACAACACCGUUUCAA